UACAGAGGGUGCGAGCGUUGCUCGGAAUUAUUGGGCGUAAAGCGCACGUAGGUGGUCUAUUAAGUCGGGUGUGAAAGCCCCCAGCUCAACUGGGGAAGUGCCUCUGAUACUGGCGGCCUCGAGCGAGGUAGGGGCGUGCGGAACUUCCGGUGGAGCGGUGAAAUGCGUAGAUAUGCGGAGGAACACCGAUGGCGAAGGCAAUCCCCUGGGCCUGCACUGACGCUCAUGCACGAAAGCGUGGGGAGCAAACAGG
rnacentral:rRNA from 1 species